UGUUGGAUUAAUGUCUACGUCCAUAACUAUAUUUGGUAUAUACUUGACCCGACCCGGCAUGGUCCAUUUGGGUUGCACUUCACCGACACAAUUUAUAUGGAUAAUCUUUUGAGAAUAGUAUGUUUACGAUUAAUAUUAAUAUAUUAUAAGUUCUAAUAUAUUAAUAUGGAAUCAUAUUAUUUAAUUAGUAUUGAUCAAGAAUUAAUUUAUAAUUAAUUAAGUGAUCAAAAAGGAACUAAUUAAAUAUGGACUCUUAUAUAUAUGGAAUGGGCCAAGUUCAUUUAGGUUGGGCUAAGCUUUCAUGGAUAGUCCAUGGAGUGUUUAACCCAUGGAUCCUAGGAAAUGAAAGGUCAUGGGUAUUAGGGUUUAACCCUAAUCCUCCAUACUAUAUAAAGAUGUCUUUGGUUGGUGAAAUUGGCACUAGUGUGGAUACACUAAAGAAGGGCUAGCCAAUUUCACUAGAGAGAACCAAGUAAUCAUAUUCUCUAAAGUAUUCCAAGGUGUCUUGGUGAUUUGUGAUUCCACUUGAGGCUUCCACACUAUUGGGGCUAAGCUCUUAAAGCUUGAAGACAUCAAGCUACAUCAAGAGGUAUGUAUUCUAUCUUGUUACAUUCAUAGUUUUUGUAUGCUAGAUUAGGAUAAUACCUUGGAUGUUCUUAUUUGCAUGUAUAAUAGAGAAAACAUAGAUCCAAGGUAUUUAGGGUUGCAUGUACACUUAGGAAGUGUUAGAAUGCUCAAAACCCAACAGUGGUAUCAGAGCCACGGGUUGUUUUCUGUUAUAUUGAUGCAAAUAUUUUAUUUUCAAAGUUGAAAAAAAAAAAAAAAAAAAAACAUGAAGUUCGUCAAAUUUUAAGAUAAUUACUUGUUCUUGUGAAAAACUAAUUAUUUGUAAAAUUUGAAUAAUUUGCUUUAUGAGUUGAAUUAGGUCAAAUUUAAUAAAAGAUAAAAUAAUAUGAUUAUUUUAUUAGUUUUAAAAGUUUGAUCUAAAGAGUUUUAUUUUUUGAAACCUCCAUAAGUUAUGGAUAUGAAAAGGUUUUAAAAAAAAAAUUGAUUCAAAGUUUUUUUGGAGUUACAAAAUUUGGUGUUAAUGUUUUAAAGGAUUCCAUAACUUAAGAAUAAGUUAUGGAUCACCAAAAGUUUUUUGUGUUACCUUGUUUUAUGAGUGAAUUUAGAUUAAUGAAUAAAAUUAUGUGAUAGUUGGUUUUAAUCCAAAUUAAUCUAAGAAUUGAUUCUAAAAUGUGUUUUUGUAACUUGUCCUCAAGUUAUAUGAAAAGUCACAUUUAAGAAUCAUAAAACUCAUAAAAAUUGGCAAAGGUUACAAAAAUGAAGAGUCUAGUUCUAAUUAAAUGGUUUUAUGACUCCAUAACUUGUCCUCAAGUUAUGGAGGACCAAGAGUCUCUUCAUUUAAUAAAAUAAAAUAAAAUAAAAAAAGGUGUAACCUUAAUUAAUUCCAUAAGUUAUAAAAUAAAGAAAAGUUAAUUCUUUUAUUAGUUUAAAGUCUUCCAUAACUUGUCCUCAAGUUAUGGAACUUGAAGAGUUUUUGGAUUAAAACUACUUUAAACACAUAAGUUAUGGAAUUAAUUAGUUUUGAAUAGUUUCAAAACUUGCCCUCAAGUUUUGGAAUUUGUAAAGUUUUCACUUAUGAAUACUUUAAUUCCAAGUUAGCCCUUAGAAUUUUAAAAGUUAAAAUUCAACCCUUAUACUUUAUAAUAUUAUAAGUUAAUAAUAUAUAUAUGUAUAAGAGUAAAGUCAGUCUUACCGCUAGUACGCCUCAUUCACGAAGCCGGUCUAUAAGGUGGGUAUAAGGUUGUUGCCUAUAAAAUGGCAACUUAAUGGGUGUCCACUCUCACCCACCGCUUGCUUGACUGGUGGAGGGUCGUUAGCCGAACGGGUUUGACAGGACUAGAAUUCUCCCUUCAUUAAAAGUAUUAAUGAUAAUACUAAGUAACUAAACUCUUAAUAAUACCCAAUCUUAGUUACUUAGGAAAAAUGUGAAUAAGGUGCUAAUCCAUGAAAUUACACUUUACACUUUGUCUAAGUCGUUAGUGGAGCGUGUGUGGUUAACCGGCACACUAACUUGGACUUAACAAGGUAGGUAAAGGGUGACUUAAUAUUUAUCAUAGUAUCGAUGGAGCGUGUGUGGUUAACCGGCACAUCGAUUGAGGGGUAAUUUAUUAAGGGUACCAAGUGAUUUGCAUGGUUACUUCACACCUUGUUUUGUGAUCCUCGGCAUCCCAGUCACAAAACCUGAAGGGCACACUCGAGAUUGAAACAUGCCUUUGAAAAGUUCAAUGAAUCUCAAAGAUCUAGGAGUUUCAAAACCAAUUAAAACCUAAUAAUACAUUUCGUUUAUCUUGGUGGAAAUUGGUGAAUCGUCAUUCACCUACCUUCAAAUAUUUUAUAGCUUGGAUUACGGCAUACCUCUUCUAAGUUAUAAAAUAGUUUGUUGGGUCCUAGCCUUAAUAUUUCAUAUUGGGUGUCAUAUUAAGGACUUUAAAUCAACUAUCUUGAAUAUCUCCCAAAAGAUGUCUGGUUUAGACACCUAUGAUCUUCCCAAAUCUCUUGAAACAAGGUUUCCUAAUGAAGAUGAUGUCCCAUGGAUAUCAUACUUCUUCACCUCUUCAAAUUAUUCUCCCUAACCCACAAGUUCUUGAAAAGUUUAAGGUCACUCAGGCCCUAUUGGCAAGGCAAGGUCUAGGUGUGGUCACAUCUUGGAGAUGUAGUCACAUAUUGACAAGCCGGGAGAGUUGGGUGUCAAAGUCUUGAGAAAGUUGGUGGUUCAACCACUUUCUAAGUCACAUAGUGAGUUCCUUUGGGACACCUAUGAAACAGACUAUGACAAGACCCUUAAUGAUCUUAUCUAUUUGCUAAGAUCAACUUCCUAAAACUUUAUGGACAUUGACAAUGAUGACAUUGGAUAUCCAGUAAAGCAUUCUCUUCCCAAUGGAAAGGGAUCGGCUAUAGUCAACUCGGUUGACCAAAUGGUAAAGAGAAAAGCUAAGUCUGUGAUAGUCCUGUGUACCAUUAUCAAAGGGUCCAUAUGUUUGUAUUGCCAAAGAAAGGGCAUUGGUUGCGAAGCUGCCAAAUUUACCUAAGGAUGUUAAAGUCAAUAAGUUUGACUCUACUUCAGGUAAAAUCCACUAUCUAACUCUGUUAAGUUUCUAUUCUGAGAUUCUUGAUACAUGAUGUGACCGGGUCGCAUGGUGAUGGUUUAAGAAUCAAAGGAAAGUGAAGAAACUUAAAGGAAGAAUAUGCUGAAUCUGAUCGCAUAGAUGGAUUUCUAUCGCAUAGUUUGAAAAAUCGGAUUCUUGAGCUACUUCUUAGGAGUUAUGAGAUAUUGCUUAGGAAUAGAUAACAACAAGUUUUCAUAUGGAUUGUAAGGAUAGUUUUUCCGCAAAGUUUUAAAAUAAAAGGAAAUUUUUGAUUUUAUUUAUUUUAAAAUAUCCUUACAAUGGCAUCUGUGGAAAUUUUUGUUGCUUAUAAGAUUCCAUUAGUAGCAAGAGUGGAAGUAUGAAAUUGAUUCUUUCAUUUGUGGUAAUGUCUAAAUUUACCAAAUAAGGAAAGAUUCUCAUCACCCAAGUUUCAAUUGGACCGGAACUUGGAAUCAUGCAAGUUGUAUAGCAUGAUGAAUGAGAACUUUCAAGUUUUGGAAAAUUAAGACUAAUUACUUGUUCACAUGGAUGUGUGAGUCAAGUAAAGGACUUAGGGAUCGAGUACACAUUCUUGUGCACUGAUUAAGUCCACCACUAAAGAUCGAUAAGAAGAAUCAAAUAAGGCAGAAGGAUAAAAGUUUCUCAAAUCUGAAAAGAUGGGAGAGUACUUUAGUAUCAGUUUUGUGAUCAUCUUAAUGAUUAAGAAACCAUAUCAAAAUUAGUUCUCUAAGGAAAUCUUAGUGCAUUCUUAUGACUAAGAAGAGGAACUUGAAUUGUUGAAAUGGUUAAAUCAAGAAGAUGAGUCAUACUUCGUUCCAAUACAAGUCUUAGAGUCAUACUCCAAGAUUGUCAUUUGAGUGACAUGUCUUAAAGAAGGUUUAAAACACUUGUCAAAUGUAAGAGUAAAAGUUUUCUACUCUUGUACAUUUGAAAUUGGUAAGUUGUGAUGUUUUGGAUAAAACAAAGACCAACUUAGGCCAAUUGGGUAAAGUGUUUUUCUUGAUUAGAAUCCGCACUAUCUCUUGGAUGUUUGACAAGGGAGUCUUAUAUGUCAAGAGGACAGUGGGAGUCUUAAAGGUCUUGAAAGUCUCAAGAAAUAAUCAAGAAUAAAACCUAAAGUUCUUCACUAGCACACGACUUGAGGUUCAUAACCUAUCGUGUUGACAUAUUCUGUGCCCAUUCCAGUUAAAGUUGGUUUUGCAUAUGAGUUCUUAGAGUUCUCAAUUUGUUGCACAACAACUUGGAAGCAAUGGCAGGCCCUUGAGCUGCCAGGUGGCAAGAAGUUAAGAUUGAGUUCAAUCCAUAUGGUUUUGGAUUUGUCAUUAUCUUUGUCUUGUGAUUAUGGUUUGACAAAUUCAUAUGGGUAGGAACUCAUACACCAUAUAAAUCUAAGUGUCAUAAGGUUUCUCUCCGAUUCAUGAAAAUGAUGGUGAGGAAACGCUUUCACUAAGUAGAUUUUACGAAGAUAUCAAUUGUGUUAUUUGCAUUUUCAAAAGUCGUUAGUGGAGCGCGUGUGGUUAACCGGCACACUAACAUGGACUUGUGAGAAAUGGCAAAUGCCUAAGCAAUUGAGACCAUGAUUACGGUAUCCCUUUUCAUGGUUCUUGAAAUUGCUUAGACACACAGGUGAGCUAUCUACGGAAAGGGUGUAUGAAUCUAAAUUUCAGACUGUCCAGCUGAUUUCUGAGUACAUGUCAAAGCUAGUGGGAGCAUAAGUGUUAUGCUAAUAAUCAUCAUGUUAGUGGGAGCAUGAUAAUUAUGAUAAGUAUUGCAAGUUAGCAAUGUUAAUUAUAGAAAACAAAAGUUUCAAUUGGGAAAAAGUUGUUUUGCUAUAAUUAAGGGAGAGGAAAUUAUGCUUCAUCUCAAAUCUAUAAGCUUAGAUCGUGAGGUUUUAAUCAUUUAGUCAAGGAUAUAUAUGAAUUUCAUGUUGGAAUGGCUCAACAUAAGGAAAUUCUGUAUAUGGGUCCAUUAUUUGCGUUCUAAAAUUCGAUUAUGAUUACGGCAUCCCUUUUCAUAAUCUGAAUUAUGAGAACUUGGCAAAUUGAAAUGGAAAUAUUAUAGCAAAAGACUGGUUUAGUCUUUAUGUAAGACAUCAUGAAUCGUGUCCCAUAUGCUUCGGAUAUAGGAUCGAUUACAUGUGCUAUAUUCAUCCGUUCUAAAAUUUUCCAAAUGCCUGGGGCAUUAAGAAGGGAAAAGGUUUAGAACUGGAUAUGACUAAAAGGAUUAAACAAUUGUCGAGGACAAUCUAAGGUUUACCAAAGAUUGGUUACUCAAGGACAAUUGGAAGUAUAGUGAUAAUUCUGGAAGGACCAUAUUGACAUAAUCUGUAAGGAGGCAACUCUUGUUCAGAAGUGAUAGUCAAAAUGGAAUCUGGAAAUGUUUCAAAGUUAGAAUUUUCAAUCUGUGUAAGAUUAAGGAAACUUAAUGCAAGAAGGAUAUUUCCAAGGAGUUGAUCUCCUUUGGAAUACUCUGUAAUGAUUGUUGCCAAGUCUUUGUGACUUUGUGCAUAAUCAUUACAAGAGGAUCAAUGCAUAUAAGUUUAGAAUCUAACAGAUUUCAGUAAAUGGCAUGAAUUUGGAAUUCUUGCAUUUGCAGUAAGGAUUUGGGAGUGUGAAAAGAGAAUCAUUGAAGUUAUGUUCAAUUGAUCUAGUUCACAAAGUAAAGAUCAUAGACAAACAUAGUAUGCAUACUUGGUGUGUGGCAUGACUAGUGUUUAAGAAAACAUAGUGUACAUGCUUGGAGCAUGGGACAACUAUUGUUUUAAAUUCAAGAAUAAAGUUGAUAGCUGAAACAGUAUACAAUGAAUAAUGUGUAAUCAUAUGGUGAUAAAUAAAAGGUGUUUUAUUUAUGUUCAAAGGGUUGAUACCAUAUUGGAUUCAAUUAUUAUUGUGUUUCACUUUGCAUGUUUUGACUUCCCGAAUAAACUAGGUUAUUCUUCCGGAAUGACUAAGUUAUUCAAACCAUCCACAGUCGGUCAUAUGUUGGAAGUAGAUAUGAAUUAAGACUGUCAUGGGUUGGCUUGUAGAGGUCUAAGGUGUUGGACAAAGGGCUACAACACUCAUGAGUGCUCAUAAGUUCUGAGUAUUGGAUUCAACCCGCGCUCAUUGGAAUCACUUCAUGGAUUUUAUCACGAGUGAUCAUGAGACGAUAAUAUCUUAUAUUCUUCAAACCUAGAGAUAUGAGUUGUUACUAUGAGUUGGUUGUACAUUGAUUGCACGAAAACGCAUUUGGUAACUCGGUGCUAUAAAACGUGCCUUUGUGUAUGAUUCAACAAGUAGUAGAACAAGCCAUAUGAGUCGAAGUUUAUCCAUUCCUUUUACCUUCGGGAUAAAAGCGAUAUCUGUGGGCCCCUCGAUGAUUUGAUGAUGACAAAUGGAAGUGCUCGGCCGGGCCAGGACUGAUUUGAUUUGUUCAAUUAGUCAGUCGUCAUAAAUCGGAAAUCGGGAAACAACAAAUGGACAGAGAGAAUGAUUAUAAUCCAUGUCUCAGUCCAUAUGAUAUCUAGAAUGGAGGAAUAUAUGAUCCCUUAUCUAAUGGACAAGUUCGUUGACAAGAUCAGAGUUCGACAGCAGCUUUAAGAGCUACGAUUGCCAGUUAGGUUUGAAGUCAUACGCAAUAAUAGUUUUAGACUUAUCCAAGUGGGAGACUGUUGGAUUAAUGUCUAAGUCCAUAACUAUAUUUGGUAUGUACUUGACCCGACCCGGCAUGGUCCAUUUGGGUUGCACUUCACCGACACAAUUUAUAUGGAUAAUCUUUUGAGAAUAGUAUGUUUAUGAUUAAUAUUAAUAUAUUAUAAGUUCUAAUAUAUUAAUAUGGAAUCAUAUUAUUUAAUUAGUAUUGAUCAAGAAUUAAUUUAUAAUUAAUUAAGUGAUCAAAAGGAACUAAUUAAAUAUGGACUCUUAUAUAUAUGGAAUGGGCCAAGUUCAUUUAGGUUGGGCUAAGCUUUCAUGGAUAGUCCAUGGAGUGUUUAACCCAUGGAUCCUAGGAAAUGAAAGGUCAUGGGUAUUAGGGUUUAACCCUAAUCCUCCAUACUAUAUAAAGAUGUCUUUGGUUGGUGAAAUGGGCACUAGUGUGGAUACACUAAAGAAGGGCUAGCCAAUUUCACUAGAGAGAACCAAGUAAUCAUAUUCUCUAAAGUAUUCCAAGGUGUCUUGGUGAUUUGUGAUUCCACUUGAGGCUUCCACACUAUUGGGGCUAAGCUCUUAAAGCUUGAAGACAUCAAGCUAGAUCAAUAGGUAUGUAUUCUAUCUUGUUACAUUCAUAGUUUUUGUAUGCUAGAUUAGGAUAAUACCUUGGAUGUUCUUAUUUGCAUGUAUAAUAGAGAAAACAUAGAUCCAAGGUAUUUAGGGUUGCAUGUACACUUAGGAAGUGUUAGAAUUCACAUAACCCAACAAUAUCAACCUCAUAUUGAGAGCUAGGGCCAAUUAUAGGUUCAUUUUUGGUUAUAUUUCAAACAUCUUCAAGGUCAAUAUGUUUUAUCCACUCAAAGAAAAAUCCUUAUGAGCUUUAAGCACCACACUUUCAUGGGUCUUAAAACAAAUAAAAAAAGGUCUUUAGUGAGUACACGAUAAUGUAACACUACUUAGAUCUUGAUUUAAGUUGGUCACUGUUUCCUCUUCUAACGAAACACCUCAUAUCAUCAUACCUAAAAGUGAGGGAACAUUUCAACUCCACAUCCCAAGAGGCCUAUUCACAAGUUACUUAUUCGGUUACAAGGUUCAAGAAUGCUUUACUAUUUAAAUUGUAUAUUUCCAAAAGUUUAAUUGGUAGAGACGUACGGCUGAUCAUAGAUCGAACCAUAUAACAUUAAAUUAUCCUUUUUUCAAGAUCAUUAUAUUAUGAUGUCCUUAGAGAAUCCAAUUAUGGAAACCAUUCCACAAUCCUAUGAUGAUCAUUAAAAUUGUUGCUAAGAAAUUUUCCUUUCCUUUGAGGAUGGAAAUCCUUUUUCCUCUUGCCCUAUUGAUCCCCUACUUUAUUCUGUUACUCUCUAAAACUUUUGAAAGUAUCAUAAUUAUGCUUAAACAUAUAGACGUACCCACAUCUACUGAAACUAUGAAUAAGUAUGACACAGUAAUGUUUGACAUCCCUUGUGGUGGAUCUAAAGGGUCCACACACAUUAGUCUAUACAAGUUCCAUCAAUCAUUCACCUCAUUCACAUAUCCAUGUGAAUGGUGAUUUAGUCAUCUUGCAACAAAUAAGAUUUGCAUAUAUAUCAUCCAACCAAAAGUUGAAUGAUUCGAUGUCUAGUCCAUUGU
rnacentral:lncRNA from 1 species